rnacentral:rRNA from 1 species
CACUGUGUGUUACAUGUGUCACACGGGACUAGCCGGUUUUAAGCCGGAGGAAGGCGAGGAUGACGUCAAGUCAGCAUGGCCUUUAUAUCUUGGGCUACACACACGCUACAAUGGUCUGUACAAUAGGUUGCCAAGCCGCGAGGCGGAGCCAAUCCUUAAAGCAGGCCUCAGUUCAGAUUGCAGGCUGCAACCCGCCUGCAUGAAGAUGGAGUUGCUAGUAACCGCAGGUCAGCUAUACUGCGGUGAAUACGUUCCCGGGUCUU